CGCGUAGCGGGUCUGAGAGGAUGACCCGUCACAUUGGGACUGAGAUACGGCCCAGACUCCUACGGGAGGCAGCAGUGGGGAAUUUUGCGCAAUGGCCGAAAGGCUGACGCAGCGACGCCGCGUGUGGGAUGACGCCUUUAGGGGUGUAAACCACUGUCAGGGGGGAAGAACUUCAUCGAUGCAAAUAGCACUGGUGGUUGACGGUACCCCCAAAGGAAGCGCCGGCUAACUCCGUGCCAGCAGCCGCGGUAAUACGGAGGGCGC
rnacentral:rRNA from 1 species